rnacentral:lncRNA from 1 species
GGGCAAAGGAAUGUCUCAGUGUUGAUUGUAUAUUCCAUCUGCUGAGAUAGGAGAAAACUGCCUUAGGGCUGGAGGUGGGACAUGCUGGUUCCUGCUGACCCUCUCCCCACUAUUACCCUAUUGUCCUGCCACAUCCCCCUCUCUGAGAUGGUAGAGAUAAUGAUCAAUAAAUACUAGGGAACUCAGAGACUGGUGCCAGCGUGGGGCCCACCCCCCGAGGUAGUCCUGGGCUGAGCCCCAUGGGACCUAGAGAACCAGGGUGUACCCCACCAGCAUGUCGGGUCCAGGAAGCCUCGUGGCCAGCUCCCACUUCUCUUCCUGCUGUGCAACCCAGAGCAAGGCCUGCCCCUCCAGCUUCAGUCUUCUCCCCUGCAAAUGGGGCCACGGCCUUUCCUCUCAGGCCAAUAUAAGGAUUGAGGCCGGGUGCAGUGGCUACCCCUGUAAUCCUAGCACUUUGGGAGACUGAGAUUCUCUAUUGGUUUAAAUUUUUUUAAAAAAAAUUAAAUAAAUAAAAUAAGGAUUGAAGAGUGACUUGUACACCAGUUGAGCCCACCUCCAUCUCACCCUUGCAGAGCCCCAGAGACACAGCCCUCCAGAGCUCAGACCCAGUGGGACUUGACUCCACAGGCAUAAAACCCUGUUUGUCUAUGGGCCCUUUGGAAUCACCAGGUUUUCGGGGCUCCUGAAGGAUAGCCCCGACCUGGCCUCACCUGGCCCCUGGCCCCAGUGCCCCUGGUGAUAUCCAGGUGCUGGGCUGUGAUCACCGCCUCCCACCAGCCCACCUCCAC